AACCUAGCACACCUGCGGUGUGUACCUGCGGAAGGAUCAUUACCGAGUUUACAACUCCCAAACCCCUGUGAACAUACCUAUAAUUUGCCUCGGCGGACUCAACGACGGUGCUCCGAGAAAUCGGGCGCCGCUCGCUGCCAGAGGAACCCCAAACUCUAUGUAUUCUUGUGGAUCUUCUGAGUAAAACAAAACAAAUAAAUCAAAACUUUCAACAAUGGAUCUCAGAUCGGAAGAGCACAC
rnacentral:misc_RNA from 1 species